UACAGAGGUCUCAAGCGUUGUUCGGAAUCACUGGCGUAAAGGGCGCGUAGGCGGCCGAGUCAAGUCGGGGGUGAAAGCCUGUGGCUCAACCACAGAAUUGCCUUCGAUACUGUUUGGCUUGAGACCGGAAGAGGUUAGUGGAACUGCGAGUGUAGAGGUGAAAUUCGUAGAUAUUCGCAAGAACACCAGUGGCGAAGGCGGCUGACUGGUCCGGUUCUGACGCUGAGGCGCGAAAGCGUGGGGAGCAAACAGG
rnacentral:rRNA from 1 species